rnacentral:rRNA from 1 species
CAUACGCGUUCAGAGUUUGAUCCUGGCUCAGGACGAACGCUGGCGGCGUGCCUAACACAUGCAAGUCGAACGGGGUAGGUUCCUUCGGGGACUACUUAGUGGCGAACGGGUGAGUAACGCGUGAGAAACCUGCCUUUCAGUGGGGGACAACUAUUGGAAACGAUAGCUAAUACCGCAUGACAAUAGGGUACACAUGUACCCUAUUUAAAAGGGGCAAAUGCUUCACUAUGAGAUGGACCUGCGUUGUAUUAGCUAGUUGGUAAGGUAACGGCUUACCAAGGCGACGAUACAUAGCCGACCUGAGAGGGUGAUCGGCCACACUGGGACUGAGACACGGCCCAG